rnacentral:rRNA from 1 species
UGGGGAAUAUUGCACAAUGGGCGCAAGCCUGAUGCAGCCAUGCCGCGUGUAUGAAGAAGGCCUUCGGGUUGUAAAGUACUUUCAGCGGGGAGGAAGGCGAUAAGGUUAAUAACCUUGUCGAUUGACGUUACCCGCAGAAGAAGCACCGGCUAACUCCGUGCCAGCAGCCGCGGUAAUACGGAGGGUGCAAGCGUUAAUCGGAAUUACUGGGCGUAAAGCGCACGCAGGCGGUCUGUCAAGUCGGAUGUGAAAUCCCCGGGCUCAACCUGGGAACUGCAUUCGAAACUGGCAGGCUAGAGCCUUGUAGAGGGGGGUAGAAUUCCAGGUGUAGCGGUGAAAUGCGUAGAGAUCUGGAGGAAUACCGGUGGCGAAGGCGGCCCCCUGGACAAAGACUGACGCUCAGGUGCGAAAGCGUGGGGAGCAAACA